AUGACUUUCAUCGCUUUAAUUUCUCCUAGUUUUCUCGUGAAUCCUAAUGGAAAGCCACUGGUAACUGAUUUCUCUGUGCUUCUCUCAGGCGUCACUCCUCCUAAAGUGAGCGUCCUGCCGCCCUCCAGCGCAGAGAUCUCCUCUCUGAACACAGCGACACUGGUGUGUGUGGCCAACAAGGGCUUCCCGUCAGACUGGAGCCUGAGCUGGAAGGUGGACGGGAGCAGCAGAUCUCAGGAGAGCAGCGCUGGGCUCCUGGAGAAGGACGGUCUGUACAGCUGGAGCAGCAGCCUGACUCUCUCUGAGGAGGAGUGGAUGAAGAGCGUCUCGGUGAGCUGUGAGGCCACACGGAGCGGCCAGUCUGCGUCCACUGGAGACACUGUGAGAAGACAGCAGUGUUCAGAGUAG